rnacentral:rRNA from 1 species
AGUGAACGCUGGUGGUAGGCCUAACACAUGCAAGUCGAACGGCAGCACAGUAAGAGCUUGCUCUUACGGGUGGCGAGUGGCGGACGGGUGAGGAAUACAUCGGAAUCUACUUUUUCGUGGGGGAUAACGUAGGGAAACUUACGCUAAUACCGCAUACGACCUACGGGUGAAAGCAGGGGAUCUUCGGACCUUGCGCGAUUGAAUGAGCCGAUGUCGGAUUAGCUAGUUGGCGGGGUAAAGGCCCACCAAGGCGACGAUCCGUAGCUGGUCUGAGAGGAUGAUCAGCCACACUGGAACGGAGACACGGUCCAGACUCCUACGGUAGGCAGCAGUGGGGAAUAUUGGACAAUGGGCGCAAGCCUGAUCCAGCCAUACCGCGUGGGUGAAGAAGGCCUUCGGGUUGUAAAGCCCUUUUGUUGGGAAAGAAAAGCAGCAGGUUAAUACCCCGCUGUUCUGACGGUACCCAAAGAAUAAGCACCGGCUAACUUCGUG